AAGCGCUCAUGACCAGACUUGUGCCCUGCGGAUCAUCCAGCCUUCUGGCUGGUGCACUUCGCUUGGUUCAGGCCAGCAUCGGUUCUCCGAGGGGGAUAAAAGCUUCAGGAACGUAGCUCCUUCGGGAGCAUUAUAGCCUGUUGCAUAAUACCUUUCAGGGGACCGAGGUUCGCGCAUCUGCAAGGAUGCUGGCGUAAUGGUCAUCAGCGA
rnacentral:rRNA from 1 species